CACUAUAAUUCCACCCUGAUGUGAUUAAUGUUUUUUAACAUUUCAGCAUAUUUUCUUUUUUUCGCCAAUUAUUUUAUUGAAAUAGUAAAGUUUUAUAACAUUGUAUAAUUUUGGGUGUACAUUAUUAUUUAUCAAUUUCUGUAUAGACUGCAUUGUACUCACCACCAGUAGUCUAAUUUUAAUCUGUCAGCGUAUGUAUGUGCCCCUUUACCCUUUUCACCCACCCCCUCCAGUCACCUGUCCCUCUGGUAACCACUAAUCUGUUCUUUUGGUCCAUGUGUUUGUUUAUCUUCCACAUAUGAGUGAAAUCAUUCUGUAUUUGUCUUUCUCUGUCUGGCUUAUUUUGCUUAACAUCGUACCCUCAAGGUCCAUCCAUGUUGCUACAAAUGGGACGGUUUUGUCUUUUUUGAUGGCUGAGUACUAUUCCAUUGUGUUAGCCUGUUAAAUUAAAGAUAUAUUGUUACUGGUACAAGAUAUUGGGGAGUGGGUCUGAAAUAGGUUUUCCAUUAGGAAUCUGGAUCUUCAGGAUUUUCUGUCUGAAAUGCAUUAUUAUAUUGCAAGUUGGAACUUGAUCUACAAGAUGUCAGUCAAGAUGAAAGUUCUUUUUUUGUAUAUUCUGUCCUCCAUGAACAUUUUUCAUUCAUUCAACCGAAAUUCACUGAGAAACAACUCUUAUAAGCUGCAUUUUACUAAAUACUUCUAAAAUAUUGGAAAAAAAUGAUUAAACUGAAAAUAGUCUAUGAUUUGAAUGUUUGUAAUU
rnacentral:lncRNA from 1 species